rnacentral:rRNA from 1 species
CUGGCUCAGGAUGAACGCUGGCGGCGUGCUUAAUACAUGCAAGUCGAACGAAGCACUUAUGACAGAUCCCCUCGGGGUGAAGACGUUGUGACUGAGUGGCGGACGGGUGAGUAACGCGUGGGUAACCUGCCUUAUGCAGGGGGACAACAGUUGGAAACGACUGCUAAUACCGCAUAAGCGCACGGCACCGCAUGGUGCAGUGUGAAAAGAUUUAUCGGCAUAAGAUGGACCCGCGUCUGAUUAGGUAGUUGGUGAGGUAACGGCCCACCAAGCCGACGAUCAGUAGCCGACUUGAGAGAGUGAUCGGCCACAUUGGGACUGAGACACGGCCCAGACUCCUACGGGAGGCAGCAGUAGGGAAUAUUGCACAAUGGGGGAAACCCUGAUGCAAGCGACGCCGCGUGAGUGAUGAAGUAUUUCGGUACGUAAAGCUCUAUCAGCAGGGAAGAUAAUGACGGUACCUGACUAAGAAGCCCCGGCUAACUACGUGCCAGCAGCGGC